AUUGAACGCUGGCGGCAGGCCUAACACAUGCCAGUCGAACGGUAACAGGAAGCAGCUUGCUGCUUUGCUGACGAGUGGCGGACGGGUGAGUAAUGUCUGGGAAACAGCCUGAUGGAGGGGGAUAACUACUGGAAACGGUAGCUAAUACCGCAUAACGUCGCAAGACCAAAGAGGGGGACCUUCGGGCCUCUUGCCAUCGGAUGUGCCCAGAUGGGAUUAGCUAGUAGGUGGGGUAACGGCUCACCUAGGCGACGAUCCCUAGCUGGUCUGAGAGGAUGACCAGCCACACUGGAACUGAGACACGGUCCAGACUCCUACGGGAGGCAGCAGUGGGGAAUAUUGCACAAUGGGCGCAAGCCUGAUGCAGCCAUGCCGCGUGUAUGAAGAAGGCCUUCGGGUUGUAAAGUACUUUCAGCGGGGAGGAAGGGAGUAAAGUUAAUACCUUUGCUCAUUGACGUUACCCGCAGAAGAAGCACCGGCUAACUCCGUG
rnacentral:rRNA from 1 species